AUUGAACGCUGGCGGCAGGCCUAACACAUGCAAGUCGAACGGAGCGGCGGACGGGUGAGUAAUGCAUAGGAAUCUGCCUGGUAGUGGGGGAUAACGUCCGGAAACGGGCGCUAAUACCGCAUACUAUUAGAUGAGCCUAGGUCGGAUUAGCUAGUUGGUGGGGUAAAGGCCUACCAAGGCGACGAUCCGUAACUGGUCUGAGAGGAUGACCAGCCACACGGGAACUGAGACACGGUCCAGACUCCUACGGGAGGCAGCAGUGGGGAAUAUUGCACCAUGGGGGAAAGCCUGAUGCAGCCAUGCCGCGUGUACGAAGAAGGCCUUCGGGUUGUAAAGUACUUUUAGCGGGGAGGCGUUACCCGCAGAAGAAGCACCGGCUAACUCCGUGCCAGCAGCCGCGGUAAUAC
rnacentral:rRNA from 1 species